UCCUACGGGGCGCAGCAGUGGGGAAUAUUGCACAAUGGGGGAAACCCUGAUGCAGCAACGCCGCGUGAAGGAAGACGGUUUUCGGAUUGUAAACUUCUGUUCUUAGUGAAGAAUAAUGACGGUAGCUAAGGAGCAAGCCACGGCUAACUACGUGCCAGCAGCCGCGGUAAUACGUAGGUGGCAAGCGUUAUCCGGAAUUACUGGGGGUAAAGGGAGCGUAGACGGCUGUGCAAGUCCGGAGUGAAAGGAGGGGGCCCAACCCCCGGACUGCUCUGGAAACUGUAUGGCUGGAGUGCAGGAGAGGG
rnacentral:rRNA from 1 species